rnacentral:rRNA from 1 species
AGAGUUUGAUCCUGGCUCAGGACGAACGCUGGCGGCGUGCCUAAUACAUGCAAGUCGAACGAAGCUUUCUUUCACCGAAUGCUUGCAUUCACCGAAAGAAGCUUAGUGGCGAACGGGUGAGUAACACGUAGGCAACCUGCCCAAAAGAGGGGGAUAACACUUGGAAACAGGUGCUAAUACCGCAUAACCAUGAACACCGCAUGAUGUUCAUGUAAAAGACGGCUUUUGCUGUCACUUUUGGAUGGGCCUGCGGCGUAUUAACUUGUUGGUGGGGUAACGGCCUACCAAGGUGAUGAUACGUAGCCGAACUGAGAGGUUGAUCGGCCACAUUGGGACUGAGACACGGCCCAAACUCCUACGGGAGGCAGCAGUAGGGAAUCUUCCACAAUGGACGAAAGUCUGAUGGAGCAACGCCGCGUGAAUGAAGAAGGCCUUCGGGUCGUAAAAUUCUGUUGUCAGAGAAGAACGUGCGUGAGAGUAACUGUUCACGUAUUGACGGUAUCUGACCAGAAAGCCACGGCUAACUACGUGCCAGCAGCCGCGGUAAUACGUAGGUGGCGAGCGUUGUCCGGAUUUAUUGGGCGUAAAGGGAACGCAGGCGGUCUUUUAAGUCUGAUGUGAAAGCCUUCGGCUUAACCGAAGUAGUGCAUUGGAAACUGGAAGACUUGAGUGCAGAAGAGGAGAGUGGAACUCCAUGUGUAGCGGUGAAAUGCGUAGAUAUAUGGAAGAACACCAGUGGCGAAAGCGGCUCUCUGGUCUGUAACUGACGCUGAGGUUCGAAAGCGUGGGUAGCAAACAGGAUUAGAUACCCUGGUAGUCCACGCCGUAAACGAUGAGUGCUAAGUGUUGGAGGGUUUCCGCCCUUCAGUGCUGCAGCUAACGCAUUAAGCACUCCGCCUGGGGAGUACGGUCGCAAGACUGA